rnacentral:rRNA from 1 species
GACGAACGCUGGCGGCGUGCCUAAUACAUGCAAGUAGAACGCAGUUGCGCACGGGUGAGUAACGCGUAGGUAACUGCCUCAUAGCGGGGGAUAACUAUUGGAAACGGUAGCUAAUACCGCAUACUGUGAGCUGGACCUGCGUUGUAUUAGCUAGUUGGUGAGGUAAAGGCUCACCAAGGCGCCGAUACAUAGCCGAGCUGAGAGGGUGGACGGGCACAAUGGGAAUGGGAAACGGCCCAGACUCCUAAGGGGGGCAGGCGUAGGGGAACAUUGGACAUGGGGGGAAGUCCGACCGAGCAACGGCGCGGGGGUGAAGAAGGGUUUCGGAGCGGAAAGGUAUGUUGUUAGGGAAGCGGUAACGAAACAGAAAGGGACGGCUAACUACGUGCCAGCAGCCGCGGUAAUAC